rnacentral:tRNA from 2 species
GGCCGGUUGGCGGAGUGGUUACGCACUGGAUUGCAAACCCAGGUACCCCGGUUCAAUUCCGGGACCGGCCUCCA